rnacentral:rRNA from 1 species
AGAGGUUGAUCAUGGCUCAGGACGAACGCUGGCGGCGUGCUUAACACAUGCAAGUCGAACGAUGAACCUUCGGGGGAUUAGUGGCGAACGGGUGAGUAACACGUGGGCAAUCUGCCCUUCACUCUGGGACAAGCCCUGGAAACGGGGUCUAAUACCGGAUAAACUUCCACUCGCAUGGGUGGGGGUUGAAAGCUCCGGCGGUGAAGGAUGAGCCCGCGGCCUAUCAGCUUGUUGGUGAGGUAAUGGCUCACCAAGGCGACGACGGGUAGCCGGCCUGAGAGGGCGACCGGCCACACUGGGACUGAGACACGGCCCAGACUCCUACGGGAGGCAGCAGUGGGGGAUAUUGCACAAUGGGCGAAAGCCUGAUGCAGCGACGCCGCGUGAGGGAUGACGGCCUUCGGGUUGUAAACCUCUUUCAGCAGGGAAGAGAAUGACGGUACCUGCAGAAGAAGCGCCGGCUAACUACGUGCCAGCAGCCGCGGUAAUACGUAGGGCGCAAGCGUUGUCCGGAAUUAUUGGGCGUAAAGAGCUCGUAGGCGGUCUGUCGCGUCGGAUGUGAAAGCCCGGGGCUUAACCCCGGGUCUGCAUUCGAUACGGGCAGACUAGAGUGUGGUAGGGGAGAUCGGAAUUCCUGGUGUAGCGGUGAAAUGCGCAGAUAUCAGGAGGAACACCGGUGGCGAAGGCGGAUCUCUGGGCCAUUACUGACGCUGAGGAGCGAAAGCGUGGGGAGCGAACAGGAUUAGAUACCCUGGUAGUCCACGCCGUAAACGGUGGGAACUAGGUGUUGGCGACUUCCAUCGUCGGUGCCGCAGCUAACGCAUUAAGUUCCCCGCCUGGGGAGUACGGCCGCAAGGCUAAA